GAAUACUGGAGUGGGUUGCCAUGCUUUCCUCCAAGGGAUCUUCUUAACUUGGGGAUCGAACCCAGGUCUCCCCUCAUUGCAGGCGGAUUCUUUACUGCCUGAGCCACUAGGGAAGCCCAAGAAUACUGGAGUGGGUAGGCUAUCCCUUCUUUGGGGGUCUUCCCAACCAAGGAAUUGAACCGGGGUCUCCUGCAUUGCAUGUGGAUUCUUUACUAGCUGAGCCUAACUACCCAUUUUAGACAGGUUAAAACAGAAUGGUGAUCUAGAAGUUUGUCUGUACUCAGGACAGUGGAGUUAGUAGGGGUAGGUUUUCCUGCCCUAGCUUUUAGCCCAAACACAAAAGGUGGUCUUGGCUCAUUAAGACUGGCCCUGACCUGGCAGGGAAGGACCAGAAAAAUGCUCAGAACUGAUCAGCUCACAUGGUUCAGUGCUUCCCAAUCACAUCCCAAUGGUCUUUUGUGUGUGCAGCAGAGACACCAGCCUUGCCUUUGCUCUCUGGGUGACUCAGCUGCUCCCUGCCACUCUCCAUGGAGACUGCGAGAGGAAGCCUCAAAGUCUGGGUCACGCUGGGCCCGGAUUAGUAGCCGCUCUGGGUUCUCUGUCAUGUAGUCUGCACCUGGCAGGAUCUGGGCCUCCCUAUCAUCACACUUGCUCACCCACAAGCAGCUCUGGCUGUACUCGCUGUUCACAGUCUUAGUCCUGAACCACUCACUGCAGCUCACUUGCCUAUGCCCUGGUGUCUGACUGCUGGCUGUCCUGGCAGCCAACAUGGUUGGCUUGGGCACAUGCUGUUGUCCUCUGGGUCUUGGCUUCUCUUGUUGAUACUUGCUCAGUGACAGUGAUGCCUGCUCUCUGUCCCAGAAACAUGUGCAGAAUGUCUUGGGCAUGCCUCCCUGACCCAGUCCCUGGGGCCUUACUAGGAUGUUGACAGGGGUGACUCACUCUCUGCUGGGCUCAUGUGCACCGCUGAACCUGGGCAGUUCCCAUGGUGGGGGAGUUGGAGGGGUGUAGGACCAUGGGAGCAAGGUGGAGAGAGGCAGUAGAUGUAGAGUACCUUUUGUGAGACUCCAAGUCUGGGCCCUUCCUGGGGUUUGUUUGACCUUCUGCACAUCACCGUCAUUGCCCUAGUCCCUUCACAUUGCUGUAAUGUGGACUGCGACACCACAGACUGAGUGGUUUGUAAACAACAAAAACUUAUUUCUCACAGACUUGGAGGCCAGAGGGCCCAAGAUCCAGGGGCCAACGUGGUUGGGUGAGGACCCUCUUCUGGGCUUAAGGCUUGUAUCCUCCUGGGGAAGAAGGUACAAGAGAACUCUUCAGGGUCCUUUUUAGAGAAACACUAAUGCCAUUCAUCAGGGCUCUGCUCUCAUGUCCAGUUCAGUUCAGUCACUCAGUCAUGUCCGACUCUUUGUGACCCCAUGAAUCGCAGCACGCCAGGCCUCCCUGUCCAUCACCAACUCCCGGAGUUCACUCAGACUCACGUCCAUCGAGUCUGUGAUACCAUCCAGCCAUCUCAUCCUUGGUCAUCCCCUUCUCCUCCUGCCCCCAAUCCCUCCCAGCAUCAGAGUCUUUUCCAAUGAGUCAACUCUUCACAUGAGGUGGCCAAAGUACUGGAGUUUCAGCUUUAGCAUCAGUCCUUCCAAAGAAAUCCCAGGGCUGAUCUCCUUCAGAAUGGACUGCUUGGAUCUCCUUGCAGUCCAAGGGACUCUCAAGAAUCUUCUCCAACACCACAGUUCAAACGCAUCAAUUCUUCGGCCCUGAGCACCUCCCAAAUGCUCUAUCUCUGAAUACCAUCAUAUUGGGGGUUAGAAUUUUAACAUACAAAUUUUGAGUGGAUGCAAAUAUUCGGAACACAGUAGUCAUGGUCCUACCUCUGAACCCAUCAGAGACAGAAGACUUUUGCUAGUAUUGUUGGGACUGGCUGAGUUCACUUAUCACCUGGGUUCGCUAUGGCAGAUGGUGUAGUCUGAGAGGGAUGGAAUCUUGAUGACAUUGGUUUAGCCCUCAAUCCAGAUGAAUAUGAAGUAAGAUCUGCCUCCAGACUUAAAAAAAUUUUUCAUAAGCAAUUACAUUCCCUUGCUUUUAUUUAAACCAAUCUCAACUGGGUUUUCUGUCACCUGCCACCAAGAAAAUCCUAAUGGAGCCAGCCUUGUGACCUUUGGGUCAAAGUCACCUCAUCAAUAUUCUCAAAGGCUAUGUGAUUAAAAAAAAAAAAACUUUAUUGCAGGAUAAUUGCUUUACAAUAUCGUGCUGGCUUCUGCCAUGCAGCAACAUGAAUCAGCCACAGGAAUACAUGUGUCUCCUCCCUCUUGAACUUCCCUCCCAUUCCCUGCCUCUAGGUGGUCACGGAGCACUGGGCUGAGCUCCCUGCAUCACACAGCAAAUUCCCCCUGGCUCUCUAUUUUGCAUAUGGUAAUAUGUAUGUUUCCUGCUGCUCUCUCAGUUUGCUCCACCCUCUCCUUCCCCCACUGUGUCCACGAGUAUGUUCUCUCUGUCUUCGAAGGUUGCCUGACUUUGAAGGGUAUUUAGUUGUUUUGCUUCUUUAAUUGGGUAUCACUUGGUCCUUGUGUUAGGAUCAGCUAUCUAAUCCAAACUGUGUUGAUAACAUUCCUUUUGGUUUUCAAUAGCCUUAAUCAGUUCUUUGAACUUGUCUGAAAGUUGGAAGCCUAUUACCCACUUGUUGUUUGUUGUUUUAUGGGAGCCAACCAGUUGAAUGUAUAAGAUGAGUUGGCACAGCUCCUGGAUGAGUGAAGAGGAACUUUCAAUCAUCCAUUGAUUCCUGGAAUUCUUCUAUGCUGAGGGUAGAAGGUGGAAGAUUCCUGGUCAUCUGGGCUUCCAGGAUCCAGCUUAUUCUCCAUGUGUUGCUAAAAGAGGACAGAGCAGGUGUUCUCAUAACAGUUCCCUGGCUGAGCAAAUGCUGCAACCCAGUCAUCAGCACUGAAGGCAACCGAGUUCAUGACCCACAUCCUGACUGUUUCUGAACAGGAGCUAUGGCCACCCAGUGAUUUAUUUCAUGGAUGAUCAGCCUUCAAAACUGCAACGGUGAUUGGGCAUGAAUCCUGUAAGUGCCAAUAAUGUGUGAAGUCAGGGACAGUGAGCUGCUUAAGGGUUGGGGCCUAUGCUGGACACCGUCUGAUGUACUGAUGUUGUGGCAUCCUCACAAGACAAGGGAAAUCAACCCCACUGUCCAGAUGAGGACACUUUCCCAGAGAGUGCCACUUGCUCCUUCAUAACUGAAGUGGUUGAACCAGAGGUGUGUGGACAGUUGACUUCCAAGCUGGCAAUAUGGGAGAGCUGCCUUACUCCGUAAAUAUUCAUCAUGCUGCGAAUAUUGACCAGGGUGCCCACCACGUGCUGGCCCUGUGAACACAGGUGUCCAUGUUCCUGCAAGAGCAAUAAAUCCACCUUUGAAUGUCCUUGUGCUUUUGCCAUCUCAUAGCAGAUUGACUGUAUGAGGAAGAUAGUUAUAUUUGAGACCUCUAAGAAAGCCUUUUGAUUGACACUGAUUAUUUAGGAGAACAAUGCAAGAAAAUCUUCCAUCAAGGGUCUUAAGUUUUCUCAGAUACACAGGCUCGACUGGUGGACUCCUCGUGAUCUUGAGGAUGGUGAGGUUGAGGGAGCUACUGUUUAUUAAGAUCAACAAAAUUUUGGUUUGCCUGAGUGAUUUUUUUCACUAACAUUGAAAGUUAUUGACUGAUUUCUUUACUCAGUACUUGACAUGUACAGGUUGGAAAAUGACUAGGAUGUGGCCCCAACCCUUAAGCAGCUCACUGUCCCUGACUAAGAGAGGAGACAGACACAUAAACCUUUAAUUAGCACAGGAUGUUAAGAAGCACUGCAGUAGAGAGGUAUUCAUAGGGACCUUGGUAACAAAGAUGGAGUAACAAUGACCUUCUCUCACGGAAAUCAGUGAAGGCUUUACUAGGCCGGGGACACUAGAAUUGGGUAUAAAGAGAAGCUUGUGGUAUGCAGGAAUGGAAGGUUAGUGUUUGAGAUGAUGACUGGUAAUUUGGCCUGAGGCUAGCUUGAUAGGAUUUCUAUAGGGCAAGUUCAGGCAUUGAACUUUGACCUACUGGCAUUAAGGACCUGUUGAAGGAAGGAUUUUAAAUGAGCUACUGAAAUCACAGGGCUCCCUUCUGCCUGUCAUGCCCUGAGAAAUAUUUCUCAGGUUGCUAGGAUAACUGGUCAACCCAAUGUCUCUGAACAUGUGCUCAUUGUAAGCAUUCUAUAAACCAUAAAACAGUUUACAAACAAUCUACAAACUACUUUUGAAUUAAAAAAUAUUUUUGAGGGAUC
ensembl:lncRNA